CCAGAGAUGGCGGGCCCCCGCGCCCCCGUCCCCAACCCUUUGUUGACCCCAACCCUUUUGCCUCGGGGGCAGAGCGGCCGUCAGGCCGCCGCCCCCGGAGGACCACCAAACUCUGUCUCUGUACGUCGGAGUCUUUUGAUAAACGAAUCA
rnacentral:misc_RNA from 1 species